rnacentral:rRNA from 1 species
GACGAACGCUGGCGGCGUGCCUAAUACAUGCAAGUCGAACGCAGGGGGGACGGGUGAGUAACACGUGGGUAAACUCCCAUCAGAGGGGAUAACACUUGGAAAAAGGUGCUAAACCGAUACUGAUGGAUGGACCCGCGGUGGAUUAGCUAGUUGGUGGGGUAACGGCGAACCAAGGCCACGAUGCAUAGCCUACCUGAGAGGGUGAUCAGCCAAGCUGUGACGGAGUCACGGCACAGACUCCUACGUGAGGCAGCAGUAGGGAAUCUUCUGCAAUUGACGAAAGUCUGACCGAGCAACGCCGCGGGAAUGAAGAAGGUUUUCGGAUCGUAAAACUCUGUUGUUAGAGAAGCGGUAUCUAACCAAAAAGCCACGGCUAACUCCGUGCCAGCCGCCGCGGUAAUAC